rnacentral:snoRNA from 1 species
ACGUUGUAUCAAUAGACCAAAAUCCAUAUCAAUGUAAAGUAUUCAUCUCUAUAUCAGUCCAUGCCUACAUAUGCCUAUGACUUCCAGAGUCCUGUGGGCAAUGACUAAGGAGACAAAGCACGCAGGAAGCAGUC